AGAAGGAGUACAAAGGUGGCAGGUGGUGGAGCCGGAGUCCGGUGCAUGGCGGUGACGACGGAUGCAGUGACAAAGAGGAAGAGUGGGUAUGAAAUUGAGACAUUGACUAACUGGCUGUUGAAGCAAGAACAGGCUGGUAUUAUUGAUGCUGAACUCACUAUAGUACUUUCGAGUAUUUCAAUGGCGUGUAAGCAGAUUGCUUCUCUAGUUCAAAGGGCAAGCAUUUCUAACCUCACUGGAGUUCAGGGUGCUGUUAAUGUCCAAGGAGAGGAUCAGAAAAAACUCGAUGUCAUCUCCAAUGAGGUAAUGUCUACCCCUGUAAAUACAGUAGUUUAACAUGGUAUCAGAGCUGGUGCAGUUGUUGAGCCGACUCUAUCCAUUUAUGAAGCACGUAGACAAGCAGAGCUUGAAAUUUCUGGGGAUUGUUUAAUACUAGAUUAAAUAAAUAAAUGUGCGUUAUUCUAACAGAUUAAGCUUUUAAACAGACUGGUUUAGUAGUAUGUUAUAAGCACGAUGUAAAUAUCAGGUGUUCUCUAAUUGCUUGAGGUCAAGUGGAAGGACAGGAAUUAUUGCAUCUGAGGAAGAAGAUGUACCAGUGGCUGUGGAAGAGAGUUACUCUGGCAACUACAUUGUUGUUUUCGACCCUCUUGAUGGAUCAUCCAACAUUGAUGCUGCUGUGUCCACUGGCUCGAUUUUUGGAAUUUACACUCCCAAUGAUGAGUGCCUAGCAGAUAUUGGAGAUGAUGCCACGGUAUACUGCAUUCUAUGUUUAUUUAACUAAUGAAAAUUUGUAGCAUAAGUCAAGACUGAAAUAAAAUCUACCGAAAAUAAGAAUUUUGUACAAUCUGAUCUGUUGCAGCUUGACAAUGUGGUACAGAGGUGUGUAGUGAAUGUGUGUCAACCUGGAAAUAAUCUUCUCGCAGCAGGCUAUUGCAUGUACUCGAGCUCUGUGAUUUUUGUGAUCACCUUAGGAAAAGGUGUAUAUGUGUUCACAUUGGACCCCAUGUUUGGGGAAUUUGUGCUUACUCAAGAAAACAUUCAGAUACCGAAGGCCGGAAAGAUUUAUGCUUUUAAUGAAGGGAACUACCAGUUGUGGGAUGAUAAAUUGAAGAAGUACAUUGAUGAUCUUAAGGAUCCUGGUCCAAGUGGCAAACCUUAUUCUGCUCGAUAUAUUGGUAGUUUGGUUGGUGAUUUUCAUAGGACUUUGUUAUAUGGUGGGAUUUACGGGUAUCCCAGAGACAAGAAGAGCGAAAAUGGGAAGCUUAGACUCCUGUAUGAAUGUGCACCAAUGAGCUUCAUUGUUGAACAAGCUGGUGGCAAAGGAUCAGAUGGGCAAAACAGAGUCCUUGACAUUCAACCAACCGAGGUGUGUCAAAUGAUACAAGGAAAUUUGAUUUCCGUUGCAAAUUGUUUACAUUAUAGUCCUCAAGUUUCAUCUUCCAGUUUUGAUCUUUUGUUGUAUUUUCGUGCAGAUACAUCAGCGAGUGCCCUUGUACAUUGGAAGUACUGAAGAGGUGGAGAAAUUGGAGAAAUAUUUGGCUUAAUUACAAUGUAAAAGGUUUAAUAUUGCUGAUAUAGUUUUCCCCCGUCUUUCAAGAAGAAAAAACAGCGGGAAUUCUUUCUUAUAUUCCUACUAAAGAGUUGAUUCUCAUGACUGCAAUGUUCUUUAUUAUUUAUUUCUGAACAGGCAACUUAACAUGAUUGGACACUACAAGGAAAUGGUCAUGAUCCAGCUAAUCUUUUGUAAAAUUGAGAUUGAACUGACAAAUUGUUUGACUUCAUCAUUGUCUAGCGUUUUCAGGUAAGUCGUCCGCCUAUCAUUAAACUUUACAGUUAUUGUAACUCAGUUUUGAAGUUGUGAAUGUUCCAAAAUUCGACUAAUAUAAGUCAAUCUUCCGGUUAACUACUCUCAUAGGCCUAAAAUUGCAAGUAUAUGACAUCCUUAUCUUAAAACCAUGGAUCAUCAUGGACCAAAUGCAAUAGCAAUAAUUUCAUCACUAAAAGAGUGAUUAUAGUAAACUUACAAUAGCCAUAAUAACAUUGUAGUUUUAAUGUUUUGAUUUUAGCUACUGAUAUGCAACCAAUAUUCAACAAGGAUGGUUGCCACCAGAACUGAACAAAGUUAAAUGACUUGCCAUCCUAACAAAUUACUAUGACUUCACAUAGUGCUGACGCAUAAGGACAACCUAAAACUGAAUAUCAGAGUAAAUAUUGUUGGGAGUCCUAAACUGGUACCAUAUCAAUAUAAAAAGUCAGUAAAUGGAAGUCUUCCAGGACCAUCUCUCCAUGUACGAGAGGGCGAUACGCUAGUCGUCCAUGUUUUUAACCUCUCCCCGUACAAUCUCACUAUUCAUUGGUAAGAUUCUCUCUCUCCCCCAUUUUAUAAAGGGUUGAACCCCAACCUUAAGGGUCUCCCACCAUCCCUGCCCUGGAAUAUCGUGAGGGAGGUAAAUCGCAAGUUAUGCCUCCAAGGGUACAGGGUGGAAGGCUGCUUGUACACUUAUACUUACCCAAGAGCCAAAUCCAUAUUUCAGGAUUCGAACCCUUGACACGACAGUUUCAAGUAAAGUUGGAUUUCUCCACCCUCCCCUUUUACCACUUAGAGAUGUACCCUGGGGGCAUAAGUAUUAGCAAUAUUUUCUCUCUCCCCCAUUUUAAUGAUCAUAAGCAGUUGAUCAUAUGAAAAGUGCUUUUCAUGGUAAAUACAAAUAUCUGGCCAUUAAAUGCAAAUAUUUUUCAAGUUGGUCGCUCAAUUCAAAUCUAUUAAUUUCAUUCAAACAAAAGGUAACGUGAUAAUCUAGUUAUUUGUCCAAUAUCUGACAACUAGUUGUCACAUGUGCUUUUCUACUCGUCAACUAAUAGAUAUGAACGAAAUAAUCGAAUUGCAACUAAUGUUCCAAAUUAGUAGCAAAUUUUGCAUGCAGCUAACUUGUGCAUGUUUAGAUUAAUAAUCAGGUCUCAUUAUCUGUCUUCAAUACAGUUGUCAUUUUUAAAAUUUAAAAAAAAAAAAAACAAAGAAAAAAGCAUAUGUAUGUCUUCUUCUUGAUAGAUAAAAUAUUCUUGAAGGUCAAGGAUAUUCGAAAUUCAACCACUAGACGAAUAAAUCAAAUCAAAACAAGGGAAUCGUCUAUUUCCAAACUUUUGAAGGCUAUUUUAAUUAUCUAUCAUUAUCAUUUGCAGAGGAUAAAUUAGAAUAUAUUUUGUGUAACAGGCAUGGAGUUUUCCAGUUACUCAGCGGGUGGGCUGAUGGACCCGAAUUCGCAACCCAGUGUCCGAUCCGGCCCGGACACAGUUACACCUAUAGGUUUAACAUUACUAGACAGGAGGGGACUCUCUGGUGGCAUGCACAUGUUCAGUGGCUCCGGGCGACAGUUUAUGGAGCCUUAAUUAUCCGACCCAGGGCUGGUCGGUCAUAUCCGUUUCCAAAGCCUCACAAAGAAGUCCCAAUUCUUCUUGGUAAUUAACUAAAUAAAUAAAUUUAUGUUUAUCUUUUAAUAUUUUAUACGAAUUUCAUUUUAUUCGUGUGAUUGCAGGAGAAUGGUGGAAUGCUAAUGUAAUUGAUGUAGAAAAUGAAGCUCUAGCCACUGGAAACGCACCUAAUGUAUCGGACGCGUACACAAUCAAUGGUCGCACCGGGGAUCUUUACCCAUGCUCUUCAAAUAGUAAGUUAACAUGCACAUGAUUUCUACUAAUUUUUAGCACUUUUACGUGAAGAUUUUGUUAAGUCAUAGAAAAUACUAUCAUUUGUAGCAGGGACAUAUCGGCUAAAUGUGGAACGAGGAAAAACAUAUCUCUUGCGUAUCAUCAAUGCCGCUCUCAAUAAUCAACUAUUUUUCAAAAUAGCCGAUCACAAAAUGACAGUAGUUGCAGUCGAUGCUGCAUACACAAAUCCCUAUGUCACCGACGUAGUGGUAACGGGGCCCGGACAAACAACCGAUGUUCUCUUGGAGACCGAUCAGCCACCAGCACUGUACUACAUGGCUGCAAAUCCCUAUGCUAGUGCAGCAGGAGUUCCAUUUGAUAACACUACAACAACUGGGAUUAUAGUGUACAAUGGUGCUACUCAAUCCACCCCAAAAAUGCCUAUCCUUCCAGCAUUUAAUGACACACCCACAGCCCACAAAUUUUUUAGCAAUCUAACUGGGCUUGUUACUGGGCCUUUCUGGGCCCCCGUACCACAAGAAGUGGACGAACGCAUGUUCAUAACUGUUGGGCUGGGCUUGGUUGCAUGUGGAAGCCCAGGGAACACAUCCUGCCCAGGCCCACUUGGGCAAAGAUUUGCUGCGAGCAUGAAUAAUGUAUCUUUCCAGUUUCCUAAUAAAUUGUCAAUGCUGGAGGCAUUUUUCAACAACGUCGGUGGAGUUUAUACCACCGAUUUCCCUAGUACUCCACCAGUGAGAUUUGAUUACACAAACCCUAAUAACAGCCUCAAUCGGGCAAUCAUAAUGACUACGAAGUCAACAAAAGUAAAGAAAGUUAAGUACAAUUCAACAGUAGAGAUUGUGAUGCAGAAUACAGCUCUAAUUGGGAUCGAAAAUCAUCCUAUACACUUGCAUGGAUUCAACUUCUAUGUUUUGGCUCAAGGAUUUGGCAACUUCAAUAGGACUAUGGACAGCAAAAAGUUCAACUUUGUUAACCCACAAGAGCGUAAUACCAUUGGAGUACCAGUUGGAGGAUGGGCUGUGGUUAGAUUUCGAGCAAAUAAUCCAGGUAAGUUAGACCGUCGUCAAUCUCAAACUUAAGAAUCCGUCCACCUUUGAGAAAAAAGAUGAACUUUUCUAAUUUCAUCUAGCAUGUUUUAUAUAACUUUACCUAUAUGUGAAGUUUGCAUAUAUUAAUAUAUUCUACAUUUGAAAAUGUGGUUAUUUUAGGUGUAUGGUUGAUGCAUUGUCACUUGGACGUACACUUGCCUUGGGGUCUUGCUACUGCUAUCGUUGUCGAGAAUGGACCGACCUCGUCAACAAGACUGCCGCCACCUCCUCCAGAUCUUCCUAAAUGUUAAUAUUCUUCAGAAAUAUUAUUUAUUAUUGUACUGUUAUUGUUUAUUUGAUUGUUUUUAUUUAUUUGUAACCUUGAUUUCAAUUUUACAUUUUUGUAAGUUUGAUAUGGUAUCGUGAGAAGUAAUAGUAUACAAAUGCCAACAUUUAUUUGAUUAAAUCGAUGUUAAUUUUCUAAAUCUAUUCAAACAAAACUAAAAAUUAAUUAAAAUCCGUGAAUAAAUAAAAUUUACAUGAUUUAUAAACUCAAUAUUUAAAUAAUUAAAAAUUUUCAAUUUAAAUAUUGGUUUUCCGCGAACCCAAUCCAAAACAAUGCAAGUAGCCGUUCUUCGAUAAUUUCAUUUAUAAUACUUGUAAAAAUUAUGAGAAUUAAAUUAAUUAAUUAGAAAGGCGAAGAAGCUGGUGCAUCGGCGACAGAACCAGUAGGUUCUUCGGCCACCAGACCAGGGGCGGCACCACCGCUGCUCAAAAGCUCCAACAUGGCACGGUGAGGCUCGGUCUUUUGUUUCUCGCACAGACGAGGUAGAUAUACUCCUUCUCCGGCGGCUAGGUUGAAAUAAAGGUCAACAAUAUUAGGGCAAUUUUGAUAACAUGCCGGCGAGCACAGGCUUUUGGUGAAUUGCGGUACAAGUAAUGCAUCUGAAGAUAUUCCGACGAAGCUCCGAUCAGCGCCACAAGCUUUUACACAUUGAUCGGUCUCUAUAUAUCCAGCCAUUCUCUCAACAACCACCUCCGACGUCUUGCAUGUAUAUUCCAGCUUUCCGACGUCGUCUUUGUAAUUCUCCAGCACACAUCUUUUACCCGAUGAUGCGAUUGCAAAUGAACAAAAAUUCGUCGGCAAAUUGUCGCAAAUCACCUCAGCUGAUACAGAGAAAGAUACAUAUUAAAAAUUACACAUUUAUUUACAUAAAUAGAGAGAGAGAGAGAGAGAGAUUGGGAUGUACCGAAUGCUCCUUGGAGGAAGAGGGAGAGCGCAAAGAAGAGGAUGAAUGGCGAUUUGAUUGAAGAAACAGCCAUGGCUUUAAUUUGAUGCAUUGUUUUCUGAUUUGGGGAAGAUCGUGAAGAAUAAAUGGGUUUGCGAGAAAAAUUCAAUGGAUGAGUUGUGUAUAUAUGAAGUGGUGGAGGAGAAAGUUUAUUGAGUUAAAUUGGAAAUGGUGCGAACGAAAUUCCAUAAAAAGGUAUAAGUUCCGACAAAGGCGGUUAUCUAAGGAGACAUCGUUGGCCGGAUUUUCACUGGUUUCUGUGUGGUUUCUUGUUAAUGGACGUGAUUGCCUGCAUUUGAAGGUUCCAACCGUUUAUUACACACACAUUUAGGAAAAUCCAUCGAAAUUGUAUUAAUACAAAAACGCUUAAGACAAAAUUUUAAGGUUAGACAAAACUCCCAAAUUGAAUCGAAUCAAAUUGGAGCCGAACUAAAUUGAAUAGAACUGAGCAGUUAUUCUAAAAUUAAAUACGAGAACAGGCAAUCAGAAUCUACAACCGAUGAAUUUGAUUCGUUUCUCGAUUCUAGAUCAAGAACCGAAUAAGAAUCGAAUCUCCUUAAUUUUUUUUUAAUUUCUUUUAUUCAACAAGCCAAAUUAUUUUAAUUUUUUUUCCUGUUUUAUUUGCCAACUAAUAAAUUGAGCUUAAAAAUAUCAUUAUCCUGUUUCAUUUAUCAACUAACUAAUUGAGCCUAAAUUAUUAUUUUCCUAUUUUCAGCCCAAACUCAACUUUGUAAUUCAAAUUUCAAAUAAUCAAAAUUGAGUGAACUAAGGUUUUUUUUUUUUUUUCAACACUUUAAUCAAGUAAGUUGUAUAAAUUGCCGAAUAGAUAUUAUUAGAAACUUAUUAUUUGUAUAUUUUUAAAUUAAACUAUGUUUAAGUAUUAAGAUAGUGUUGUUAUAAAAGCUAAGAUUGAUUAUGACAUUAAUUGGAUUAAUCAAGUAUUGUUGUAAAUGUUAAAAGUUUUAAUUAUGGUAUGGAAUCUAACCGAACAAAAAGAUUUUAUAAUUAAAUUUAGACCUGGCGAUUCCACUUACGAAAUAUCUAAAAACUUGGAUUCGGUUCCGAAUUGAAUUGGACUAUAUCCAGUCCUAAGAGAAAUAAUAAUGAUAUUAAUCUAAAGUUAUCGUCAUCGUCAUCGUCGGUCUAUAUGAGCUGGAGAUACUCUGCCACGAAUAUCUAGUGGCAGGUUAAUCAAGAUAGUUUUAUAAACGAACACAUAUUAGGCCAUAAAAUCAAUUAAUCAUAUGCCGGUUUGUCCGAACAAAGAAAAAUGUAUGACUCAAUGAGAUUAAAGCAAAGCAAUUUGACAUCAUCUAGACAAAUUAUAGGUAAGCGUUUAGAAAGCGCAGACGAAAGUGCCCAUUAUUAAUCAUUAAUCACCACCAUUUCAAGUUAGUCAACGAUGGAUCGACAAUACAUCAGCGUCAAUAGACUCAACACAUAAGUGGGAAAAAGCACGUCAAUAAGGUGAGAAUGCCUCAUGCAGACCUUGAACUCUAUAAAUACUCUCAAAUUUUACAGAGCUAAGGUACGUGAAAUCUAAGACGCUUAGCCAAAAUUCUGUCAACCUUUCUCCCCCUAGGUUGCACAAAAAAGAAAUGGAACAAAUAGGAUACUCAUAAACAUUAUUUCUGAAAAAUAGGACACGAAAUGUCACGAAAACGUAUAUUAAAACUAUUAAUUUAUUUUCAAAAAUUAAUAUUUAAAUUCAAGAAGCCAUUCAAUAUUAAGUAAUAAAACUAACUAAAUGAAUUUAAUAUAACUAGACUUUUAAUAUAUAAUUAUUUCCAUCUUAAAUAAAAGGAAUAUCCGCGUCUCAACUUGAGAGGAAGAUAAGUGGGACCUGAUGAGCAGAAAUUGUUACCAGCCAUACAAUCUAAAAAUAAAAAUUCAAGAAAUGAUACAAACCUGAGUCACAAAUUGGGGGAGAAAAGAUUUUGUAAGAGAGAAAACUAAAAGGUAGCCAAGAAAAAUAACCAUGACUGCAACUUCAUCAGCAUCACAUCUUCUCUUUUCAAGUUCCCAAUCCAUUAUUUCUCGUUUCUCCCCCUUCCAACUAUGCAGGUUGGACGCCAAGACUCUCAACGGUGGCGUCAGAAGGAGUACAAAGGUGGCAGGUGGUGGAGCCGGAGUCCGGUGCAUGGCGGUGACGACGGAUGCAGUGACAAAGAGGAAGAGUGGGUAUGAAAUUGAGACAUUGACUAACUGGCUGUUGAAGCAAGAACAGGCUGGUAUUAUUGAUGCUGAACUCACUAUAGUACUUUCGAGUAUUUCAAUGGCGUGUAAGCAGAUUGCUUCUCUAGUUCAAAGGGCAAGCAUUUCUAACCUCACUGGAGUUCAGGGUGCUGUUAAUGUCCAAGGAGAGGAUCAGAAAAAACUCGAUGUCAUCUCCAACGAGGUAAUGUCUACCCCUGUAAAUACAAUAGUUUAAGUGGAGUUGUUGAGCCGACUCUAUCCAUUUCUGAAGCACGUAGACGUGCAGAGCUUGAAAUUUCGGGGGAUUGUUUAAUACUAAAUUAAAUAAAUAAACGUGCGUUAUCUCUAGCAGAUUCAGCUUUUAAACAGAUUGGUUUAGUAGUAUGUUAUAAGCACGAUGUAAAUAUCAGGUGUUCUCUAAUUGCUUGAGGUCAAGUGGAAGG
rnacentral:lncRNA from 1 species